rnacentral:rRNA from 1 species
ACAGAGAGUGCAAACGUUGUUCGGAAUUACUGGGCUUAAAGCGCACGUAGGCGGCGUCGUAAGUGUCAGGUGAAAUCCCACGGCUCACCCGUGGAACUGCCUGGCAGACUGCGAUGCUAGAGUGUGGUAGGGGAGAGCGGAACUCUUGGUGGAGCGGUGAAAUGCGUAGAUAUCAAGAGGAACACCGGUGGCGAAGGCGGCUCUCUGGUCCACAACUGACGCUGAGGUGCGAAAGCUAGGGGAGCAAACGGGAUUAGAUACCCCGGUAGUCCUAGCUGUAAACGAUGGGCACUAGCUUGGGGUCUCCCUGUGUGAUCCCAGGUGUAGCAAAAGUGAUAAGUGCCCCGCCUGGGGAGUAUGGUCGCAAGGCUG